GAUGAACGCUGGCGGCGUGCCUAAUACAUGCCAGUCGAGCGAACGGACGAGAAGCUUGCUUCUCUGAUGUUAGCGGCGGACGGGUGAGUAACACGUGGAUAACCUACCUAUAAGACUGGGAUAACUUCGGGAAACCGGAGCUAAUACCGGAUAAUAUUUUGAACCGCAUGGUUCAAAAGUGAAAGACGGUCUUGCUGUCACUUAUAGAUGGAUCCGCGCUGCAUUAGCUAGUUGGUAAGGUAACGGCUUACCAAGGCAACGAUGCAUAGCCGACCUGAGAGGGUGAUCGGCCAGACGGGAACUGAGACACGGUCCAGACUCCUACGGGAGGCAGCAGUAGGGAAUCUUCCGCAAUGGGCGAAAGCCUGACGGAGCAACGCCGCGUGAGUGAUGAAGGUCUUCGGAUCGUAAAACUCUGUUAUUAGGGAAGAACAUAUGUGUAAGUAACUGUGCACAUCUUGACGGUACCUAAUCAGAAAGCCACGGCUAACUACGUG
rnacentral:rRNA from 1 species